GUUUGAUUGACGUUUGAUUUAAUAAUUCUGAUACAACUCAUAAUUCUAAUCUAAUAGAAACUCCAAAACCUCAGACAAAGAGGACUAGAAUUUUACAUAAAAAGCCGCGUUCUGCAGUACAAAAGUUAGAAGAGGCAUCUCAAAUAGUGGAAAGUGCCAAACUCCGCAACACGGUAGUGUUCCAGUGUUUCCAGGAAGAGCACGAAA